AUUGAACGCUGGCGGCAUGCUUUACACAUGCAAGUCGAACGGUAACAGGGAGCUUGCUCCGCUGACGAGUGGCGAACGGGUGAGUAAUGCGUCGGAACGUGCCGAGUAGUGGGGGAUAACGCAUCGAAAGGUGUGCUAAUACCGCAUACGAACUGAGGUUGAAGGUGGGGGACCUUCGGGCCUCACGCUAUUCGAGCGGCCGACGUCUGAUUAGCUAGUUGGUGAGGUAAAGGCUCACCAAGGCGACGAUCAGUAGCGGGUCUGAGAGGAUGGUCCGCCACACUGGGACUGAGACACGGCCCAGACUCCUACGGGAGGCAGCAGUGGGGAAUUUUGGACAAUGGGCGCAAGCCUGAUCCAGCCAUGCCGCGUGUCUGAAGAAGGCCUUCGGGUUGUAAAGGACUUUUGUCCGGGAGCAAAUGCUGGUGGCUAACAUCCACCGGAGCUGAGAGUACCGGAAGAAUAAGCACCGGCUAACUACGUGCCAGCCGCCGCGGUAACAC
rnacentral:rRNA from 1 species